GCCUAACAUAGAUUAGGUUGCAUAUAAGAUGCAUAUAGUUACAUGAUAUUUUGAGCAUUUUUGUUGUCAAUGUUUUGGUUAUGUAAUGAUCAAGUUUCUUUUUGGACUCAAUGUAUCUUUCUUUAUAAAUGAAUGAAGUUUGUCUUUGCUUUAUAUAAGAAAUGCUUUCUUUAUGUAUGUUGUAUAAUGUUUGAUUAUUUACCUUUUUGAUAAUGACAAAAAGAGAGAGAAGAAUAAGUAUCAAUUGAAAUGAAUGCGUAUCAAAUUGAAACUAAGAAUUGAGUAUCAGCAUUGAGUAUCAAAUUGAGUAUCGAGUAUCAAAUUGAAAUUACAAUUAAUAAAAUAUAGUAAUUUGAAAUUACAAUUAAAAUGAAUGCGUAUCAAAUUGAAACUAAGAAUUGAGUAUCAGCAUUGAGUAUUAAAUUGAGUAUUGAAUAUCAAAUUGAAAUUACAAUUGAUAAAACAUAGUAAUUUGAAACAUUUGGCACAUAGUAUUGAUGGAAAUUAAAUUUAAGUAUCAAUUGAAACUAUGUUUGAUAAAACAUGAAAAAUACUAGUUUGAACCAAAUUAUAAUCCUAAAUUGUUAAUUUAAAACUUAUGGCACAU
rnacentral:lncRNA from 1 species